UACGAAGGGGGCUAGCGUUGCUCGGAAUCACUGGGCGUAAAGCGCACGUAGGCGGAUCUUUAAGUCAGUGGUGAAAGCCCGCAGCUUAACUGCGGAACUGCCAUUGAUACUGUUAGUCUUGAGUACAGUUGAGGUGGGCGGAAUGUGUCAUGUAGCGGUGAAAUGCUUAGAUAUGACACAGAACACCGAUUGCGAAGGCAGCUCACUAAGCUGUAACUGACACUGAGGCACGAAAGCGUGGGGAGCAAACAGG
rnacentral:rRNA from 1 species